AAUGAACGCUGGCGGCGCGCCUAAUACAUGCAAGUCGAGCGAGAAGACGUAGCAAUACGUUUGUAAAGCGGCGAACGGGUGAGGAAUACAUGGGUAACCUACCCUAGAGUGGGGAAUAACUAGCCGAAAGGUUAGCUAAUACCGCGUACGCUCCUUGGACUUCGGUUCAGGGAGGAAAGCGAUGCCGAGGGUAUCGCGCUCUUGGAUGGGCUCAUGUCCUAUCAGCUUGUUGGNGAGGUAACGGCUCACCAAGGCUUCGACGGGUAGCUGGUCUGAGAGGACGAUCAGCCACACUGGCACUGCGACACGGGCCAGACUCCUACGGGAGGCAGCAGUAAGGAAUAUUGCGCAAU
rnacentral:rRNA from 1 species